CGAGAUUCGCCUUAGUCUCGUGGGCUCGGAGAUGUGUAUAAGAGACAGGCUCCAGGGGGUAGAGCACUGUUUUGGCUAGGGGGACAUGGAGUCUUACCAAACCAAGGCAAACUCCGAAUACCUGGAAGCGUAAGCACGGGAGACAGAGCACCGGGUGCUAACGUCCGGACUCAAAAGGGAAACAACCCAGACCGCCGGCUAAGGUCCCCAAUAACAGCUAAGUGGAAAACGAAGUGGAAAGGCCGUGACAACCAGGAAGUUGGCUUAGAAGCAGCCAUCCUUCAAAGAAAGCGUAAUAGCUCACUGGUCGAGUCCUUCUGCGCGGAAGAUGUAACGGGGCUAAGCUGUUAACCGAAGCCGCGGAUGCACUGAUUAUUCAGUGCGUGGUAGGGGAGCGUUCUGUAAGUCUGCGAAGGCGGUUCGAGAGGACUGCUGGAGAUAUCAGAAGUGCGAAUGCUGACAUGAGUAACGUUAAAGCAGGUGAAAAGCCUGCUCGCCGUAAGCCCAAGGAUUCCUGCUCUACGUUCAUCGGAGCAGGGUGAGUCGGCUCCUAAGGUCAGGCCGAAAGGCGUAGCCGAUGGGAAUCAGGUUAAUAUUCCUGAACCUGCGUCAGAUGCGAUGGGGGGACGGAGCAUGGAAGAUCAUCCGGGUGUUGGAAGUCCCGGUUGUUUAGCGUAGGAGGUCUGCAGGCAAAUCCGCAGACGCAUCUCCAAGGCGAAGUCACGUGCCGCCACGGCGGCGAAGUGAUCGGAAGUGCUUCCAAGAAAAGCCUCUAAGCACCAGUCUGACGCGGACCGUACCGCAAACCGACACUGGUGGGCGAGCUGAAUAUGCUCAGGCGCUUGAGAGAACUCGGGAGAAGGAACUCGGCAAAUUGACACCGUAACUUCGGAAGAAGGUGUGCCGUAGUACCGUGAGAGGAGAGACACCUUGAGCGGGAAACGGUCUCAGAGAAUAGGUGGCUGCGACUGUUUAUUAAAAACACAGCACUCUGCAAAGUCGAAAGACGACGUAUAGGGUGUGAUGCCUGCCCGGUGCUGGAAGAUUAAUUGAUGGGGUGAGAGCCCUUGAUCGAAGUCCCAGUAAACGGCGGCCGUAACUAUAACGGUCCUAAGGUAGCGAAAUUCCUUGUC
rnacentral:rRNA from 1 species